rnacentral:lncRNA from 1 species
CAACAAUUUACCCAUAAAACUAUAAUCAUUAACUGCCUUUCCUUUAUUGAACUCUAGAGCUUUGGCUUUAUAAUUCUAUUUGGCCUGUAUAUGCAGGAAGAGUAUUGAAAUGGUCUAUAUUUAUUUCUUCUCUCUGACAUAGAUGGAAACAGUCAGAGUGACUCUACACACUUCCUGCUUCCACGUUUAGCAUCCCCAAGUGAAGAGAUAUGAAGAGUGUUCAAAAGAUGCUACAAAAUGUUUAGUUUUCAACUCUCCAGAGGAAGCUGACAUGGCAACACUCUGUUAUUUGAAGAUUUGAGUUUUCCUACUACAAGGAAGAAGUUGUAACUUCUGACUUAGUAUGAGGUUCAAGCCAGAUGGAUCAUGUGAUGCAGUCUUGUCAAUGAAAACAGGAAGACAUUUCUCAAGAUUAGAAUGGUCCUGGAACAAAAAAUUGCCUUACCAAGUAAUCAGUGCCUACUAUUGGAUGUAUUCAGGUGCGGUGGGUCACGCCUGUAAUCCCAGCACUUUGGGAGGCCGAGGCGGGCAGAUCACGAAGUCAGUAGUUCGAGGCCAGCCUGACCAACAUGGCGAAAACCCAUCUCUACUAAAAUUACAAAAAUUAGCUGGGCAUGGUGGUGCGUGCCUGUAAUCCCAGGCUACACAGGAGGCUGAGGCAGGACGAUAGCUUGAACCCAGGAGGCAGAGGUUGCAGUGAGCCAAGAUCGUGCCACUGUGCUCCAGCCUGAGCGACACAGUGAGACUCCAUCUCAAAAAUAUAUAUACAUAUAAUAUAUAUUUGUAUAUAUAUUUUGUAUAUGUAUAAAUAUUUUGAGAUUUUUCUCUUUUUUUAAUAUAAAACACAAAACUCUUUUUAAGAUAAAACACAAAAAAGUAUCUACAUUUAUUUGAAAGAUAAAUUUCAGAUUUGACGAUUUUUUAUUUUACUUCUAUGAACUGCCAUACUACUUUCACAUGAGGUAUAAGAUAAAUGAAUUUUGACAAUUUUCUGAGUUAAGAAUUGAUUCUGUAAAAUUGUAGCCAAAUCCAGCUGAUUUAAUACUAUGACCCUAAUUCCUCUUUCAGAACUUACGUUAGUAGAGUUUGAAUAGUUAAGACUUGAAAUUAAGACCCUUGCUUUAGUACAUAAUCUCACAAAUGACUUUCAGAAAAUGGUGCAUCCAGUAUGUUUAUUUGGAGCUUCAAAUUUUUAAUAGUGUCAGAGUCUUUCACAGCACGCUACAAAUUUCAUGAGUAUCAGAUGUCAAGAUCAAACAAAACACAGUUGCCAGUAAAAUAACCAACUAUCAAUUUACUUCUGCUUUACAGUUAAUGUGUGUGCACCCACAUCAAUGAAAAAAAUAAACUUAAAUUUCUUAUG